GUAGGUGGCAAGCGUUGUCCGGAAUUAUUGGGCGUAAAGCGCGCGCAGGCGGUUCUUUAAGUCUGAUGUGAAAGCCCACGGCUCAACCGUGGAGGGUCAUUGGAAACUGGAGAACUUGAGUACAGAAGAGGAAAGCGGAAUUCCACGUGUAGCGGUGAAAUGCGUAGAGAUGUGGAGGAACACCAGUGGCGAAGGCGGCUUUCUGGUCUGUAACUGACGCUGAGGCGCGAAAGCGUGGGGAGCAAACAGGAUUAGAUACCCUGGUAGUCCACGCCGUAAACGAUGAGUGCUAAGUGUUAGGGGGGUUUCCGCCCCCCUUAGUGCUGCAGCUAACGCAUUAAGCACUCCGCCUGGGAGUACGACCGCAAGGUUG
rnacentral:rRNA from 1 species